AGACCAGGAAGUGGAUCCCGUGGAAUGACGGUCACGCCGCGGCGGGCGGAUUGACUUCUAAAGACUGUUGGUACGUGAGAAAGAAACCCAGAAGAGGAAGAGGAAAGCAAAGGAGUCAGGGAUGGCUCUUCCUCAGUCCCUCUCAUCUCGCUUAGGUUCCGUCUCUCGUGACCCAGUGUCAUGAACUUGGGAAGAGGCUGCACUGGGCAGGUCCUGGGAAGGGCUCACACCCCGACAUGGAUGGACACGGGGUGAGGGUCCUGUGGUGUCAGUGCUCUUGGGCAGCAGGGAUUGUUCAGGGGCCACAUCUGGAUGCACUGUCAGCUCACUGUGGACCAGGAUUGGAGCAGCUGCCAAUGGGAGUCACGUAUUAAUAUGCACGAAGUACGUGGGUCUAUUGACAUUCAGGGACGUGGCCAUAGAAUUCUCUCAGGAGGAGUGGAAAUGCCUGGACCCUGCUCAGAGGACUUUAUACAGGGACGUGAUGCUGGAGAAUUAUAGGAACCUCGUCUCCCUGGAGUUUUGGUCUGUCAUCCCGGCUAAAGUACAGUGGUGUCAUCUCCGCUCACUGCAACCUCCACUUCCCAGGUUCAAGCAAUUCUCCUGCCUCAGCCUUCCAAGUACCUGGGACUACAGAUAUCUCUUCCAAAUGCAUGUUGAAGACGUUGUCGUCAACAGGGCAAGGCAAUACAGAAGUGAUCCACACAGGGACAUUGCACAGACAAGCAAGUCAUCACAUUGGAGAAUUUUGUUUCCAUGAAAUUGAGAAAGACAUUCAUGGCUUCGAGUUUCAGUGGAAAGAAGAUGAAACAAAUGGCCAUGCAGCACCCAUGACAGAAAUCAAAGAGUUGGCUGGUAGUACAGGCCAACAUGAUCAAAGGCAUGCUGGAAACAAGCGUAUUAAAGAUCAGCUUGGAUCAAGCUUUCAUUUGCAUCUGCCUGAACCGCACAUAUUUCAGUCUGAAGGGAAAAUUGGUAAUCAAGUUGAGAAGUCUAUCAACAAUGCUUCCUCAGUUUCAACAUCCCAAAGAAUUUGUUGUAGGCCCAAAACCCAUAUUUCUAAUAAGUAUGGAAAUAAUUCCCUCCAUUCUUCAUUACUCACACAAAAAUGGGAAGUACACAUGAGAGAAAAAUCUUUUGAAUGUAUACAGAGCUUCAAAUCCUUUAAUUGCAGCUCACUCUUAAAAAAACAUCAGAUAAUUCACUUAGAAGAGAAACAAUGUAAAUGUGAUGUAUGUGGCAAGGUCUUUAAUCAGAAGCGAUACCUUGCCUGCCAUCGUAGAUGUCACACUGGUGAGAAACCUUACAAGUGUAAUGAGUGUGGCAAGACCUUUGGUCAUAAUUCAUCCCUCUUCAUUCACAAAGCGCUUCAUACUGGAGAGAAACCUUAUGAAUGUGAAGAAUGUGACAAAGUUUUCAGUCGCAAAUCACACCUUGAAAGACAUAAGAGGAUUCAUACUGGAGAGAAACCAUACAAAUGUAAGGUUUGUGAUGAGGCUUUCGCAUAUAAUUCAUAUCUGGCAAAACAUACUAUACUUCACACUGGAGAGAAACCUUACACAUGUAAUGAAUGUGGCAAAGUUUUUAAUCGACUAUCAACCCUUGCACGCCAUCAUAGACUUCAUACUGGAGAGAAACCUUACAAAUGUGAAGAGUGUGACAAAGUUUUCAGUCGCAAAUCACACCUUGAAAGACAUAGGAGGAUUCAUAGUGGAGAGAAACCUUACAAAUGUGAAGAAUGUUGCAAAGUUUUCAGUCGCAAAUCAAACCUGGAAAGACACAGGAGGAUUCAUACUGGAGAGAAACCAUACAAAUGUAAGGUUUGUGACAAGGCUUUCCAGAGGGAUUCACACCUGGCACAACAUCAGAGAGUUCAUACUGGAGAGAAACCUUACAAGUGUAAUGAGUGUGGCAAGACCUUCGGUCAGACAUCAUCGCUUAUAAUCCAUCGUAGGCUUCAUACUGGAGAGAAACCUUACAAGUGUAAUGAGUGUGGCAAGACCUUCAGUCAGAUGUCAUCCCUUGUAUACCAUCAUAGGCUUCAUAGUGGAGAGAAGCCUUAAUAGUGUAAUGAGUGUGGCAAGACCUUCCAUCACAAUUCAACCCUGUAAGUCAUAAGGCAAUUCAUACUGGAGAGAAACCUUACAAGCAUAAUGAAUGUGGCAAGGUUUUUAAUCAAAAAGCAACCUUUGCACAUCACCAUAGACUUCAUACUGGAGAGAAACCUUACAAAUGGGAGGAAUGUGACAAAAGUUUUCAGUUGUAAAUCAAACCUUAAAACACAUAAGAAAAUUCACAUUGAAGAGAAACCAUACAGAGGUAAGGUUUGUGACAAGGUUUUUGCAUAUAAUGCAUAUCUGGCAAAACAUACUAGAAUUCACACUGGAGAGAAACUCAUUAUAAGUGUAAUGAGUGUGGCAAGACCGUUGGUCAAAAUUCACACCUUGUAAUUAAAAGGUCAAAAUUCACACCUUGUAAUUCAUAGUGGAGAGAAACCUUACAAGCACAAUGAAUGUGACAUGGUUUUUAAUCAACAAUCACACCUUGCAAGUCAUCAUAGACUUCAUACUGCAUAGAAAUCUUACAAACGUGAACAAUGUGACAAAGUUUUCAUUCACAAAUCCAGCUUCAAAUACAUAGGAGAAUUCACACUGGAGAAAAGCCAUAGAAAUGUAAGGUUUGUGACAAGGCUUUCGGGAAUGAUUCACACGUGGCACCCCAUACUAGAAUUCACACUGGAGAGAAACCUUACAAGUGCAAUGAGUGUGGCAAACCCUUUAGUGGGCAGUCACCACUUAUUCACCAUCAAGCAAUCCAUGGUAUAGGGAAACUUGACUAAUGUAAUGAUUGUCACAAAGUUUUCAGUAAUGCUACAACCAUUGCACAUCAUUGGAGAAUCCACAGUGAAGAGAUCUUACAAGUGUAAUAAAUGUGGCAAAUUUUUCAGACAUCGUUCAUGCCUUGCAUUUCACUGGUGAACUCAUGCUGGAGAGAAACCUUAUAAAUGUCAUGAUUGAGGCAAGGUCUUCAGUCAAGCUUCAUCCUAUGCAAAACAUAGGAGGAUUCAUACAGGAGAGAAACCUCACAAGUGUGAUGAUUGUGGCAAAGCGUUUACUUCACAUUCACACCUCAUUAGACAUCAGAGAAUCCAUGCUGGACAGAAAUCUUACAAAUGUCAUCAGUGUGGAAGGGUCUUCAGUCCAAGGUCACUCCUUGCAGACCAUCAGACAAUUCCUUUUGGAGACAGUUGUUUCAAAUGCAGUGAGUAUAGCAAACCAUCAAGCAUUAAUUGACAUUAGAGUCAAAUCAGCCUUGACCUGAGUUUGUUGAUUUAACAUUGAUUUCAAGCAUUAAUUGCCAUUAAACUGUUUAUGUUAAGAGGAUUGCACUGGGGGCCAUGGCUCAUGCCUGUAAUUCCAGCACUUUGAGAGGCAAAGACAGGUAGGUCACUGGAGCUCACGAGUUUGAGAACAGCCUAGCCAACAGAUGGGAGCUACUUUUCCCAGCCUUUAUUUUCUUUUUCUUGUUUUUUUUUUGAGAUGGAGUCUUGCUCUGUCGCCCAGGUUGGAGUGCAGUGGCACGAUCUCAGCUCACUGCAACCUCCUCCUCCCAGGUUCAAGCAAUUCUCCUGCCUCAGUCUCCCAAGUAGCUGACACUACAGUUGUGUGCCACCACACCUGGGUAAUUUUUUGUGUUUUUAGUAGAGACUGGGUUUCACCGUGUUAGCCAGAAUGGUCUCUAUCUUCUGACUUUAUGAUCCACCCGACUCCACCUCCCAAAGUGCUGAGAUUACAGGAGUGAGCCACUGUGCCUGGCCUGUUUUUUGUUUCUUUAACAAAAAGUUAUAGAGACUUCUAUGAGUAUUGUACCGAAUCUAAAUCACAAUUGAGUAUAUAAUCAUUGAGCGAUAUUCAUUUUUCCAAUCAGUAUGGGAUUUAUAUCUAUUUAUACAUGUUUUUAAUCAUUUUGAUCAAUGUUUAUAGAUUUCAAGGUACAAACCUCACUUUUUAUGUUUAUUCCUAAAUAUUUCUUACUUUAAGUUCUUUAGCAAAUGGAAUUGGUUUUUAAUUUUCUUUUAAAAUUAUUUAUUGUUAAUGUAUGGAAAUUCAACUAAUUUUUGGUGCUGUUAUUCUAUUCUGCAAAUAAACUGAAUGUGUUUGUUAGUUCCAGUUGCAUUUUGGCUGACUCUUUGUGAUUUUCUUUACAGAAGGUCAUGUCAUCUACAAACAAAUAAAAUUUGACUUCUUUCUUUCUGAUUUGGAUGAGUUUGAUUUCUUUUGCUAUUUCAUUGUUCUGGCUAGGACAGCCAGUAUUGAUUGAAUAGAAGGGGUGAGAGCAUUCUUGCAUCAUGUGAGAUCCUACAGGAAAAGCAUUCCGUUUUCCCUGAUUGGUUAUUUCUGCUGUGGUCAUUUCAUGGAUGGUCUUUGUAUUGCUGAGGUAAAUUUUCUUCUGUAUCUAUUUUGUGUGGGAUUUCUAUGAUGACUUGAUGUUGACUUUUGUGAAAUGCUUUUUCUCCAUGUAUUGAGAUGAUGUGGUUUUCAUCUUUCAUUGUGUUCAAGUGGUAUAUCACAUUGAUUUGCUUGACUAUGUUGAACCAUCCUUGCAUCCCAGAAAUAAGUGGCACUUGCAUAUCUACAAUCCUUUUAAUAUCCUCUUGAAUACAGUUCGCUAGUACAAGGGGUCUUCAAGAAGUUCAUGAAAAAAAUACAUAUUAUGUGAAAAUUGCACAUGAUGUCACAUUUUCUGCACCAAAAUAAACUGGCACAAAUCUGUUAUAA